AACCUCCGCAAUGUGAGAAAUCGCGACGGGGGGAUCCCAAGUGCCAUUCUUAACGGGAUGGCUUUUCAUUAGUGUAAAGAGCUUUUGGAAUAAGAGCUGGGCAAGACCGGUGCCAGCCGCCGCGGUAACACCGGCAGCUCUAGUGGUAGCUGUUUUUAUUGGGCCUAAAGCGUCCGUAGCCGGUUUAAUAAGUCUCUGGUGAAAUCCUGUAGCUUAACUGUGGGAAUUGCUGGAGAUACUAUUAGACUUGAGACCGGGAGAGGUUAGAGGUACUCCCAGGGUAGAGGUGAAAUUCUGUAAUCCUGGGAGGACCGCCUGUUGCGAAGGCGUCUAACUGGAACGGUUCUGACGGUGAGGGACGAAAGUUAGGGGCGCGAACCGGAUUAGAUACCCGGGUAGUCCUAACUGUAAACGAUGCGGACUUGGUGUUGGGGUGGCUUUGAGCUGCUUCAGUGCCGAAGGAAGCUGUUAAGUCCGCCGCCUGGGAAGUACGGUCGCAAGACUGAAACUUAAAGGAAUU
rnacentral:rRNA from 1 species